GAUGAACGCUGGCGGCGUGCCUAAUACAUGCAAGUCGAACGAAGCCUUCGGGCUUAGUGGCGGACGGGUGAGUAACACGUUGGUACCUGCCUCGAAGUGGGGAAUAACUGGCCGAAAGGUCGGCUAAUACCGCAUGUGAUCGCAAGAUCAAAGUCGUAAGACGCUUCGAGAGGGGCCUGCGUCCCAUUAGCUAGUUGGUAGGGUAAUGGCCUACCAAGGCGACGAUGGGUAGCUGGAUCGAGAGGUUGACCAGCCACACUGGGACUGAGAUACGGCCCAGACUCCUACGGGAGGCAGCAGUAAGGAAUCUUCCACAAUGGACGUAAGUCUGAUGGAGCAACGCCGCGUGCAGGAUGACGGCCUUCGGGUUGUAAACUGCUUUUAUAUGGGAAGAUUAUGACGGUACCCACAGAAUAAGCUCCGGCUAACUUCGUGCCAGCCGCCGCCGUAA
rnacentral:rRNA from 1 species